AGAUAAGCAAAUGGUGCUCAGGUCUAUCAAGAUCUUACUUAAAACAUGUUACUAUGCAGACUAUUCUGACCAUACCUUCUGCUGUUCUUAUUUGAAUGUGGCUUGUGAUGUAACUUUGAAUGAAGAUACAGACAACAGCUAACUCACAGGUUACCCUGACUUAAAGGAAUCUGUAGGUUUGAAGAACACACAGGGCACAGUGGCCUGCAAAGUUUGGACGGUAAAGCAUUCACCGCUUUGUAAUGUCGCCAUUCCUUCCCACAACACUUAAAAACUGUUUUGGCACUGAGGAUACCAAACGAUGAAGCAUUUCUGGUGUUAUUUUAUCCCAUUCUUCCUGCAAACACAUCUUAAGCUCUGAUAAAUUGUUGCCAUAAGUUCUCAAGAGGAAGAACAAGCAUCCUGGACGGGAUAACAUGAUUUCUUGCCUGGUUGGGAGGCCAUAGAGGAAGGACGGAAGAAGUUGAGAUUUGACCCGGUCAGAAAACACCUUAGAUUCUUCAUCCUGGCACAGAGAGAAGAGUGAUAAGGAGACUGGGCGAACGUGAUUGCUGGGUGCAGUUCAUGCCUCCACACAGCAGGAAGCAGUGUUCUUCGAGGCUAACCCUAUUGAGACACCCACAAGAUGGCAUGGGACUUGGAGUUCAGUAGUACAGUUCUGUUGGGGUCUUUGUGUGCUGCAGAUAAGCAUUACCCCUGUUUCCAUCUGACCUGGAAAUGCUCUGGACAACCAAUGCCGGGAUACUGGAAGCAACAACAACAACAUUUAUUUAUACAGUACAUUUUCAUACAGACAAUGUAACUCAAAGUGCUUUACAAGACGCAAAAAAGAAAGUUACAUGAAAACAAUAAUUAAGAAUAGGCAAAAAUAUUACAAAUAAGUAACAGAAAAACAAGGUAAGGUGAGAUAGCUGGUGGGACAGAAAAAAAAAGAAAAAAAACUCCAGUUAGGUUGGAGAAAAAGUAAAAUCUGCAUGGGUUCUAAGGCCAAAAGACUGUCCAGCCCCAACUUGGCAUUCUACCUAACAUAAAUGUUCUUAAAUCAAUCCUCACUGUUUUCAGGCUUCACAUGAUAGGAUUUGAUGAAGUUAGUCUCGUGGACAGGUGAGACACCCACCUUCAUCCCAUCAUCACAGGUGGCUGCAUGGUUCCUUGAUCAGGUGGUGGUGGAGCAGAUCACCACCACAAAAGAACCAGGAAAGACAUCAAAGAAUAGUGGGGAUUAGUAGAGAUUGCAGAUCCUGAAGAAUAUGAUCAUUCUAUGCCCAUACAGGUGCUGGUCAUAAAAUUAGAAUAUCAUGACAAAGUUGAUUUAUUUCAGUAAUUCCAUUCAAAAAGUGAAACUUGUAUAUUAGAUUCAUUCAUUACACACAGACUGAUGUUUAAUCAAAUGUUUAUUUCUUUUAAUUUUGCUGAUUAUAACUGACAACUAAUGAAAGUCCCAAAUUCAGUAUCUCAGAAAAUUAGAAUAUUGUGAAAGGUUCAAUAUUGAAGACACCUGGUGCCACACUCUAAUCAGCUAAUUAACUCAAAACACCUGCAAAAGCCUUUAAAUGGUCUCUCAGUCUAGUUCUGUAGGCUACACAAUCAUGGGGAAGACUGCUGACUUGACAGUUGUCCAAAAGACGACCACUGACACCUUGUACAAGGAGGGCAAGACACAAAAGGUCAUUGCUAAAGAGGCUGGCUGUUCACAGAGCUCUGUGUCCAAGCACAUUAAUAGAGAGAUGAAGGGAAGGACAAGAUGUGGUAGAAAAAAGUGUACAAGCAAUAGGGAUAACCGCACCCUGGAGAGGAUUGUGAAACAAAACCCAUUCAAAAAUGUGGGGGAGAUUCACAAAGAGUGGACUGCAGCUGGAGUCAGUGCUUCAAGAACCACCACGCAGAGACGUAUGCAAGACAUGGGUUUCAGCUGUCGCAUUCCUUGUGUCAAGCCACUCUUGAACAAGAGACAGCGUCAGAAGCGUCUCGCCUUUGGACUGCUGCUGAGUGGUCCAAAGUUAUGUUCUCUGAUGAAAGUAAAUUUUGCAUUUCCUUUGAAAAUCAAGGUCCCAGAGUCUGGAGGAAGAAAGGAGAGGCACAGAAUCCACGUUGCUUGAGGUCCAGUGUAAAGUUUCCACAGUCAGUGAUGGUUUGGGGUGCCAUGUCAUCUGCUGGUGUUGGUCCAUUGUGUUUUCUGAGGUCCAAGGUCAACGCAGCCAUCUACCAGGAAGUUUUAGAGCACUUCAUGCUUCUUGCUGCUGACGAACUUUAUGGAGAUGCAGAUUUCAUUUUCCAACAGUACCUGGCACCUGCACACAGUGCCAAAGCUACCAGUACCUGGUUUAAGGACCAUGGUAUCCCUGUUCUUGAUUGGCCAGCAAACUCGCCUGACCUUAACCCCAUAGAAAAUCUAUGGGGUAUUGUGAAGAGGAAGAUGCAAUAUGCCAGACCCAACAAUUCAGAAGAGCUGAAGGCCACUAUCAGAGCAACAUGGGCUCUCAUAACACCUGAGCAGUGCCACAGACUGAUCGACUCCAUGCCACGCCGCAUUGCUGCAGUAAUCCAGGCCAAAGGAGCCCCAACUAAAUAUUGACUGCUGUACAUGUUCAUACUUUUCAUGUUCAUACCUUUCAGUUGGCCAACAAUUCUAAAAAUCCUUUUUUUGCAUUGGUCUUAAUUGAUAUUCUAAUUUUCCGAGAUACUGAAUUUGGGACUUUCAUUAGUUGUCAGUUAUAAUCAUCAACAUUAAAAGAAAUAAACAUUUGAAAUACAUCAGUCUGUGUGUAAUGAAUGAAUCUAAUAUACAAGUUUCACUUUUUGAAUGUAAUUACUGAAAUAAAUCAACUUUGUCAUGAUAUUCUAAUUUUAUGACCAGCACCUGUAUAGUCUUUUAGGAAUACAACUAAAAUUUAGCUACAGAAAAGUCAAAUUAAAAUAAUGGGUUUUAAGCAGUUUUAAAAAAUAUUCUACAGUAUUAGCGUGGUGAAUUUCUGUUGGUAAAUUAUUCCAGAUUUAGGUGCUUAACAGCAGAAGGCCACCUCACCACUUCUUUUAAGCAUGGCUCUUAAAAUUAUAAGCAGAACAUCAUUAGAAGAUCUAAGGUUAUGAAUUGGAGUGUAGGGGGGCAGGCAUUCCAAAAAUACAGGAUGGAGAAGGGUUAUUUAAGGCUUUCUAAAUCAUUAGUAUUUUAAAGUCAAUUCUAAAUGACACAGGUAACAAGGCUAAAACUGGUGAGAUGUGCUCAGAUUUUCAUUUUCUAGUUAGGAUUCUGGCUGCUGCAUUCUGCACUAAUUGCAACUGAAUCAUGUCUUUCUUAGGUAGUCCUGUAGUAGGGUGUUGUACUCAAGUCUAAGGGAACAAGAACAGAUAUACAGCCUCUGUCCGAAUUAACCUGCAAAUCAUUUAUGACUUUAACCAUUGCAGUUCUGUACUAUGCUUUGUUCUAAAACAUGACUGAAAUUUGUCAAGAACAAUACGUUUAAUCAAAUAAUCAUUUUGCUGGUUAAAAAUAGCCUUUUCUAGAAUUUUACUUAAGAAAGGAAGGUUAGAAAUUAGUCUAAAUUUGUUGAAGACAGAGGGGGGAUUAGCAACUGCAGUCAGGGAAGACCAAUGUGUCUAAUGAUGAGUUCACUAUGUCAUGUCCACUGUCUAUUAGGACAUCAGAGACUUCUCUGAAAAAGCCUGUUGGUAAAGGAUCAAGCAGUCCUGGAUCCAGUUUAAAAGAAGCCUGCAGCCUCACCUUGGGGAUUCAAAGUCAGGAGGCAGCAGGCAACACUCAACUGGAGGUGGAAGGAGGAAGAGAAUCUGUUUAUUUUGAAGAAUUUGGGUUGAGUAUUAUUUGAAAAGUGUUGGUAGCAAAUAAAAACAUUUUAUUUGAACCCAGAGUUGUGCUGGAUGACAUUGUUUCUAAAGUUUUGGGCUCAGUGGUACCCCCUUGUGCUUACAUAGUGAUUGAUCCAAAUCUGUCUAUCCUGAAUGUGCUCCCCAUUCACAACAUCCAUCCAUCCAUCCAUUAUCCAACCCGCUGAAUCCGAACACAGGGUCACGGGGGUCUGCUGGAGCCAAUCCCAGCCAACACAGGGCACAAGGCAGGAACCAAUCCCGGGCAGGGUGCCAACCCACCGCAGGACACACACAAACACACCCACACACCAAGCACACACUAGGGCCAAUUUAGAAUCACCAGUCCACCUAACCUGCAUGUCUUUGGACUGUGGAAGGAAACCGGAGCGCCCGGAGGAAACCCAUACACAACAUGAAUAAAAUAAUUUUGUCAGACAGAUGCAAACUAAGAGAUGUUAGUUGUGCCUCUACUUCAAAUCAUUUCAGUGGAGACAGGUGUGGAUUUGCCAGCUCAAGAUGACAAGGAAAAGAAUCAAGAGGUUUGAGUGCAUUUAUCCAAGCUGGUAUUCUGUACACAGAAACAAAAGACCUAAAGUACAGGAGUCAGGACUGGUGAGAGUGACGUGGAUGCUCUCAAAUUAGUUAUUAUGAGAGCACUGUAAAUACUCUGAAAAGUUUUAAUUCCAUUAUAUUUUUGGCAAAUUAUACUUUUCUAAGAAAUCUAAUUAUCUAUCUAUCUAUCUAUUGAGAGUUUUAGGAUUGUAAUAACUAGAAAAUGUAGUCCUAUAUGGUACCACCCCCCCAUAUACCCCAUAUACCCAAUUAUGAAAGUCCAUUAUCAGAGAAUAGAUGGAAAUAUCCAUGAAACAUUCUGACAUCUCACUAAGCAAAUGUAAGAGGUACAGUAUUUAAAAGCAUAACUACAUUCCUCAUAACUUGAGGGUAAUUUUGUGAAACUUUUACUCAAGAAGUAAUAGCUGGAAUUCCUGAGUAAUCUUUAAGUAAAGUUACAAUAAUGAUACUUCAGCAAUUUGAAAUUCUCUUUUAGGUUUCCUUACUUUUUUGGUUCAAAAGAUAGGCGAGACUCUGCUGAUAUUUUAGUUGUUAUUUUCACUUCUUAAAUUUUAACUACAAACAGAAAUUGAAGGGCUUUUUAAAGAAAUCAAAUAAAGAAGACUUAAAAAUAAAUGUUUAUCACCAAACAUUGUUUGCACAUUGGCAUCUAGGUGUUAAUUGUUUCUUCAUUUUUGAGCCUUUUGUUCUGUUUUCUUUUUCAC